AGAUUGAACGCUGGCGGCAGGCCUAACACAUGCAAGUCGAGCGGUAGAGAGGUGCUUGCACCUCUUGAGAGCGGCGGACGGGUGAGUAAUGCCUAGGAAUCUGCCUAGUGGUGGGGGAUAACGUUCGGAAACGGACGCUAAUACCGCAUACGUCCUACGGGAGAAAGCGGGGGACCUUCGGGCCUCGCGCCAUUAGAUGAGCCUAGGUCGGAUUAGCUAGUUGGUGAGGUAAUGGCUCACCAAGGCGACGAUCCGUAACUGGUCUGAGAGGAUGAUCAGUCACACUGGAACUGAGACACGGUCCAGACUCCUACGGGAGGCAGCAGUGGGAAUAUUGGACAAUGGGCGAAAGCCUGAUCCAGCCAUGCCGCGUGUGUGAAGAAGGUCUUCGGAUUGUAAAGCACUUUAAGUGGAGGAAGGUUGUAACUUAAUACGUUGCAACUUUGACGUUACGACAGAAUAAGCAACCGGCUAACUUCGUAGCCAGCAGCCG
rnacentral:rRNA from 1 species